AAACUAACAAGGAUUCCCCUAGUAACGGCGAGUGAAGCGGGAAGAGCUCAAAUUUGAAAUCUGGCGGCAUCCUGUCGUCCGAGUUGUAAUCUAUAGAAGUGUUUUCCGCGUCGGACCAUGUACAAGUCCCUUGGAACAGGGCGUCAUAGAGGGUGAGAAUCCCGUCCUUGACAUGAUCUCCGGUGCUAUGUGAUACACUUUCAACGAGUCGAGUUGUUUGGGAAUGCAGCUCAAAAUGGGUGGUGAAUUCCAUCUAAAGCUAAAUAUUGGCGAGAGACCGAUAGCGAACAAGUACCGUGAGGGAAAGAUGAAAAGCACUUUGGAAAGAGAGUUAAACAGUACGUGAAAUUGUUGAAAGGGAAACGAUUGAAGUCAGUCAUGCUCUUUGGGUUAAGCCUUUCGGGGUGUAUUCCAUUGAGUGGGGUCAACAUCAGUUUUGACCGCUGGAAAAAGGCACGAGGAAGGUAGCACUCUCGGGUGAACUUAUAGCCUCGCGUCAUAUACAGUGGUUGGGACUGAGGAACGCAGCAUGCCUUAUGGCCGGGAUUCGUCCACGUACAUGCUUAGGAUGUUGACAUAAUGGCUUUAAACGACCCG
rnacentral:rRNA from 1 species